rnacentral:rRNA from 1 species
CCUACGGGGGGCAGCAGUGGGGAAUAUUGGACAAUGGGCGAAAGCCUGAUCCAGCCAUGCCGCGUGAAUGAUGAAGGCCUUAGGGUUGUAAAGUUCUUUCGCCGCUGAGGAUAAUGACGGUAAGCGGAUAAGAAGCCCCGGCUAACUUCGUGCCAGCAGCCGCGGUAAUACGAAGGGGGCUAGCGUUGUUCGGAAUCACUGGGCGUAAAGCGCGCGUAGGCGGUUAUACAAGUCAGAGGUGAAAGCCCAGGGCUCAACCCUGGAAUUGCCUUUGAAACUGUAUAACUGGAGUCUCGGAGGGGGUAGUGGAAUUCCUAGUGUAGAGGUGAAAUUCGUAGAUACUAGGAGGAACACCGGUGGCGAAGGCGGCUACCUGGACGAGUACUGACGCUGAGGCGCGAAAGCGUGGGGAGCAAACAGGAUUAGAUACCCGAGUAGUC